rnacentral:lncRNA from 12 species
UGGGGGGUCAAAGGCGUGUUGUCUCGGAGAGAACUGAGACCACGACCCCUAGGCGUGCCCCUUAUGUGACCUUGACUCCUCACCUGGCAGAUGGUGGCUGUACCUGUCCCACCCGCUCACGCUUACCGGAUGGGUGCUGAGUCAGAGGUCAGGGCUGAAAGCGAAGGAAGUAACCGGCAGGGAAGCCGAGGUAUGUAUGGACAGCCCCAGAGAGCUCCAUCAGGGCGUUUCCAUCAGGCUCCCAAACCAACCCGGCUCCUCUCACCCCAUGUUGAGAAGACUGUGGGUCAGGCUGUUUGUCUCUGGGGCACAUUCCAGAAGGAGCAGAGCCUCCCAUGCCAAGCGGGACUCUGUGGUGCCCUUGCAGACAUUCAAGAAUGACCAGAUAUUCAAUCCUCUGUGGACAACCUCCCAGGUGAUGAUUUGGGGAAUAAAGUAAUGUAAAUAAUUGGCA